rnacentral:rRNA from 1 species
UAGGGAAUCUUCGGCAAUGGACGGAAGUCUGACCGAGCAACGCCGCGUGAGUGAAGAAGGUUUUCGGAUCGUAAAGCUCUGUUGUAAGAGAAGAACGAGUGUGAGAGUGGAAAGUUCACACUGUGACGGUAUCUUACCAGAAAGGGACGGCUAANAACGUGCCAGCAGCCGCGGUAAUACGUAGGUCCCAAGCGUUGUCCGGAUUUAUUGGGCGUAAAGCGAGCGCAGGCGGUUAGAUAAGUCUGAAGUUAAAGGCUGUGGCUUAACCAUAGUACGCUUUGGAAACUGUUUAACUUGAGUGCAAGAGGGGAGAGUGGAAUUCCAUGUGUAGCGGUGAAAUGCGUAGAUAUAUGGAGGAACACCGGUGGCGAAAGCGGCUCUCUGGCUUGUAACUGACGCUGAGGCUCGAAAGCGUGGGGAGCAAACAGGAUUAGAUACCCUGGUAGUCCACGCCGUAAACGAUGAGUGCUAGGUGUUAGACCCUUUCCGGGGUUUAGUGCCGUAGCUAACGCAUUAAGCACUCCGCCUGGGGAGUACGACCGCAAGGUUG